GUCUUAAUAGUUUAUCCAAAACACUGGUCUUGUAAACCAGAAUAGACACUAGUCUUAAGACU
rnacentral:tRNA from 1 species